rfam:Salmo salar isolate Sally breed double haploid chromosome ssa12, whole genome shotgun sequence.
UAGCUCAGUUGGUAGAGUAUGGUGUUUGCAACGCCAGGGUUGUGGGUUCGAUUCCCAC